rnacentral:rRNA from 1 species
UGGGGAAUAUUGCACAAUGGGCGCAAGCCUGAUGCAGCCAUGCCGCGUGUGUGAAGAAGGCCUUCGGGUUGUAAAGCACUUUCAGCGAGGAGGAAGGUGGUGAACUUAAUACGUUCAUCAAUUGACGUUACUCGCAGAAGAAGCACCGGCUAACUCCGUGCCAGCAGCCGCGGUAAUACGGAGGGUGCAAGCGUUAAUCGGAAUUACUGGGCGUAAAGCGCACGCAGGCGGUUUGUUAAGUCAGAUGUGAAAUCCCCGGGCUCAACCUGGGAACUGCAUUUGAAACUGGCAAGCUAGAGUCUCGUAGAGGGGGGUAGAAUUCCAGGUGUAGCGGUGAAAUGCGUAGAGAUCUGGAGGAAUACCGGUGGCGAAGGCGGCCCCCUGGACGAAGACUGACGCUCAGGUGCGAAAGCGUGGGGCAGCAAACAGGAUUAGAUACCCUGGUAGUCCACGCUGUAAACGAUGUCGAUUUUGGAGGUUGUGCCCCUUGAGGCGUGGCUUCCGGAGCUAACGCGUUAAAUCGACCG